rnacentral:rRNA from 1 species
UACGUAGGGGGCAAGCGUUAUCCGGAUUUACUGGGUGUAAAGGGAGCGUAGGCGGUGAUGCAAGUCAGAAGUGAAAGCCCGCAGCUCAACUGCGGGACUGCUUUUGAAACUGUAUGACUAGGUUGCAGGAGAGGUAAGUGGAAUUCCUAGUGUAGCGGUGAAAUGCGUAGAUAUUAGGAGGAACACCAGUGGCGAAGGCGGCUUACUGGACUGUAAAUGACGCUGAGGCUCGAAAGCGUGGGGAGCAAACAGG